GGAAAUAUUGUAUAAAACAUCUGGAUCCCUAGCUCAAGGCUAGUUGGGACCCAUGCUAGUUAUUAAUGCAAAAUCU
rnacentral:lncRNA from 1 species